rnacentral:rRNA from 1 species
GAUGAACGCUGGCGGCGUGCCUAAUACAUGCAAGUCGAACGAGAUCUUCGGAUCUAGUGGCGCACGGGUGCGUAACGCGUGGGAAUCUGCCCUUGGGUUCGGAAUAACAGCGGGAAACUGCUGCUAAUACCGGAUGAUGACGUAAGUCCAAAGAUUUAUCGCCCAGGGAUGAGCCCGCGUAGGAUUAGGUAGUUGGUGGGGUAAAGGCCUACCAAGCCUACGAUCCUUAGCUGGUCUGAGAGGAUGAUCAGCCACACUGGGACUGAGACACGGCCCAGACUCCUACGGGAGGCAGCAGUAGGGAAUAUUGGACAAUGGGGGCAACCCUGAUCCAGCAAUGCCGCGUGAGUGAUGAAGGCCUUAGGGUUGUAAAGCUCUUUUACCCGGGAUGAUAAUGACAGUACCGGGAGAAUAAGCACCGGCUAACUACGUGCCAGCCGCCGCUGUAACAC